CUGGAUUGGAUCACCCGUCGUCUCGCUCCUUUCGAAAACCCUAAACGGUCGACGCGGCUACUGUUCUUCUAUCUCCAAAUGGCGUGGCGCGGAUCGAUCUCUGGAUCGCUGCUCGCUGCCGCGCGGUCCUACUCCCCCCGAUCGCCGCAUGCGGUUCGCCGACUCCCCUGUCCGCCCAUCGCGGGCCCCCGCCUCCAGCGCCGCCGCCUCCCCCUCUCCCCUCCCCGAUCUCUGGGAGAAUUAGGGUGCGCGCAGUCCUUCCUUCCACUUUACAGCGUGGUGGCCGCCCCUCGUCUCACCUCCCACCUGUCGGUCAGCGCGAGGUCGUGCUGUGAGCUCUCUCAGGGUACCUUCCGUCGCACUUGUCAAGAUCGCUAGUUAGUCCUCUCGCUGUCAAGGAAAAAUGGAAAAGAUGGUUGAUGCAGAAGAGAUGGCGUCGUUCAGUGGGAAUCGCGGUGUAAGCCGAUGUACCUGAAGGAAUUAGGAUAGCCGCAUGGUUGGUAAACGAAGGAUUCUUGAUAGGGGUUGUAUGAGAACCUGCUCAUGCAUUAACCGAAAGAUUUGGAGAAACUUUUAAUGGUCUCUUUGCUUUUGUCGAUGCAAGAAUAAGUGCCACUUUUGCUUCUGAUGAACAGCUGCUGGGGAAAUUAUGCUUCGCUGGUUUAAGUGGCGCAUGCUUUCUUCAACUGGUGUUACAGUUAUAUGCAGUGUGCACAACCGAACUUGAUGCUGGUUGCUGCCCUUAUUGUUUACUUGCCAGCUGCUAUCCUCCAAACAAUUCCACUGCAAUUCAUGUAACAUAACAUUGUGCUCAUUUUCACUGUCAGUAGCAACCUGCAAAAGUUUACUUUCUAAAGGCCAGCUGAUAUGGAUCCUUUUGCCA